rnacentral:rRNA from 1 species
UAGGCCCUACGGGGGGCAGCAGUGAGGAAUAUUGGUCAAUGGCCGAGAGGCUGAACCAGCCAAGUCGCGUGAGGGAAGACGGCCCUACGGGUUGUAAACCUCUUUUGUCGGGGAGCAAAGCGAGUCACGUGUGACUCAUUGAGAGUACCCGAAGAAAAAGCAUCGGCUAACUCCGUGCCAGCAGCCGCGGUAAUACGGAGGAUGCGAGCGUUAUCCGGAUUUAUUGGGUUUAAAGGGUGCGUAGGCGGAAGGUUAAGUCAGCGGUCAAAUGUCGGUGCUCAACACCGGCCUGCCGUUGAAACUGG